rnacentral:lncRNA from 1 species
UUUUGAAAAGGAAACAAAAAGGGCCUCCUGAAGAAUAUAAAUGAGUCUGUGAAAUGCACACCCUCCCCCAUGCCAAGUAAUCAGUGUGUUCUGAAUGUUCUGUUUAAAACUUGUUUCGUAUUUGCCCACCACUAUUGUAACACUUUUUAGAGCCCAUUUUGACCUACAGUGUCACUUAUUAAUUCCUGAAUGAUCAGCAGCCCAGGAGCACCCUAAAGUUUGUGCAGUUAAAGUGCUUUUUUUAAGUGCUGUCAUUCUUUCCAUCAUUAAUCAUGGCAUCUAGAGUUUCUUCUGGCAAUAAUCUCCCCAAGGGAGAUUGUUGUGUAAAGCAAAAAGAGUUCCUUCAACAAGAGCAAUUUUCCUGACAAAAGGCAUGCACUAAUAUUAUACUACCCUGAAAGGCCAUUAGAAAAUGCCUUUGGCAACUCUGUGGAUCAGCAAGUUUCUGAGGAAGUCAAUUAGAGUGAAUGUUGGAAAACUGAAAGUGUUCUGAGUCUCUGGCUGGUAGAAAGCAUACUGCUAUCAGUCAUCUCUGAAGAUGAAGGGCUAUGGCAAAUGCCAUUCUAUAUUGGACCCAAAGCCCACCCAGUCGAGUAUCUUGCCUCAUACAAUGGUCAACUCAAGAUGGUUCGAAGGAAGAAUCGGGAAACCCUGCAGCAGAUUUCUCCAUGGAUUGGAUGGUGCAGGAAAUGGAAAACCCAGAUCCCUGGUCAUACCCGGGACCUUCUGCCAUCGUUUGCACCAAUGCAGAGCUACAGCAAGUCAGACUGACUUGUCUCUUGGAUGCUGAAAUGCUGUUGGCUGGUUUUCUUCCCAAAAGUGAUAGAAUAGGUUACACUUGUUGUGUAAGGGGAAAUCAUAAUGCUGGCCACCACUGUUUCCACAUUUUUUUGUUAGUAGACUACACCACAAAGGGAAAAUAUAAACACAUCAUUUGUUUCACUUUGAGGGUGUGUCUGUGCUUUAUAUUCACAACCUGCUUCACCCCACAAUAACUUGCAAGUGCAGUAGCUGCUUUGCAGAUGCUCCCAUUUUCAUUCCAGAAUAAGCUUGGUUUUUUUCUGUCUUAGCUUUAUCUACAAAGGCACGUUUAGUCUGCACUUAGUGUCCACAUAGGAAACUCUUGUAAAAUGUCUAUUUUGAUAAAUUUCCCCAGGUAAGCUAACCCUAAUGCCCAUAAUCCUGGGAAGCCUACCAGUGCAAGAGUACCUUCUGUAAGUGAUCAUUUCUUUAAUGAGGGGAAAGGGACUAGAGACAUUUGUAAUAAUCCUGACUUGCAAAAUAACACUGGAUCAAGUUGCUAUAUAAAUCUAGAUUUUUUUUCUGUACUAUAUCUCAGACUGUCAUUAUGAAUCUUUAUGGAGACCACAAAAUUAGGACAACAGAAGCUGGAAAAUCUCAUUUACAUCAUAACUUGUGGCAGAGGUG